ensembl:snRNA U6 U6 spliceosomal RNA
GGGCUCCCUUUGGCAGCACAUAUACUAAAAUCGGGAGGAUACAGAGAAGAUUAGCAUGGUCCCUGCGCAAGGAUGCCACGCAAAUUCGUGAAGCGUUCCAUAUUAAA